AGAGAAGAUAAAAUGUCUGCCCUGCACUUACUUUGAAAGUCUGAAAUGAAUGUCUUACAAAGUAAGUGCAGGAAGGAAAGUCCGAACACCAUAGGAUGGGAUACUUCCUAACUGGAAGUCGCGGUAACGCAGAGAUAGCUCCACAGAAACAAACCGUUCUAUUUUACAUAGAAUAAGGGUGAAAUGGUAGUGUAAGAGACUACCGGAUUUCGUUGUGAAGCGAAAUGCCGGGAAAGCCUUAUCCGGUGCAAUGCCAAAUAGGAAAGAAGUUUCGGUUUUACCGAACACGAACUGAUCCGGUUCGUCAUACUUUCGGGUGGGCAGCAUAAAUCGGUUAGAAAAUAAGCUUAUAAAGCGCAGCAAUGUCCGAUUUAGAUAAAUAGACAUUGGUUUACUUGUUAGGUAAAUCACAGAAUUCGGCUUAAUAUCUUCUUUGACG
rnacentral:RNase_P_RNA from 1 species